GACGAACGCUGGCGGCGUGCUUAACACAUGCAAGUCGAACGGAAAGGCCCUGCUUGCAGGGUACUCGAGUGGCGAACGGGUGAGUAACACGUGGGUGAUCUGCCCUGCACUUCGGGAUAAGCCUGGGAAACUGGGUCUAAUACCGGAUAGGAGCCAUUUUUAGUGUGAUGGUUGGAAAGUUUUUUCGGUGUAGGAUGAGCUCGCGGCCUAUCAGCUUGUUGGUGGGGUAAUGGCCUACCAAGGCGGCGACGGGUAGCCGGCCUGAGAGGGUGGACGGCCACAUUGGGACUGAGAUACGGCCCAGACUCCUACGGGAGGCAGCAGUGGGGAAUAUUGCACAAUGGGCGCAAGCCUGAUGCAGCGACGCCGCGUGGGGGAUGACGGCCUUCGGGUUGUAACUCCUUUCGCUAGGGACGAAGCUUUUUGUGACGGUACCUAGAUAAGAAGCACCGGCUAACUACGUGCCAGCAGCCGCAGUAAUAC
rnacentral:rRNA from 1 species